UACGUAGGCAGCGAGCGUUGUUCGGAGUUACUGGGCGUAAAGGGUGUGUAGGCGGUUGUUUAAGUUUGGUGUGAAAUCUCCCGGCUCAACUGGGAGGGUGCGCCGAAUACUGAGCGACUAGAGUGCGGGAGAGGAAAGUGGAAUUCCUGGUGUAGCGGUGAAAUGCGUAGAUAUCAGGAGGAACACCGGUGGUGUAGACGGCUUUCUGGACCGUAACUGACACUGAGGCGCGAAAGCGUGGGGAGCAAACAGG
rnacentral:rRNA from 1 species